rnacentral:rRNA from 1 species
AGCACACUAUUACCAUUGUCACAUCGUGUACUGAAACUUGAACUGACUGGCGACCCGGGGUGGAGCGGCGCCUUCUAAGAUCGGGGAGCCCUCUUCCGAGUCACUGAGCGGCCGCUCUACUAGCACAGCCGCGAGCGCUGCCGCCACCCGCAGUUGGACCCGGACUGGCACGACGAGCAGAGGCGGAUGAGCGAGGAGGCGGCGGCGGGCGGCAAGCAGAGGCACAUGCGGGGGGCGGCGGGGAUGCGCGGCGAGCUCAGGACCGAGCGGCGGCGCACCGCGGCGAGGCUCCUGCUGUAGGUGCGGCGGCGCCCCGAGCUGCCGCAGCAGAAGCAGGCGUAAAAGCAGAAGUCGUAGUCCGAAAAGCGGCAUCAGCGACACCACCCGCAGCCGCACGAGUACGGCUAUUUGAAGUACCCCCUGGUCGACGCCGACUAGCUGAAGUGGCUGGACGGGUCGUUCAGGCAGCUACAGAACUCGUAGAGGUUACAGGACCUGCCCAGGUUGUUUAAUACCGAAGUGAAGAGACGACACAUGUAGUAUUGACCUCAGCGUACGAUGGACGAGAUAAUACUCAUGUCUAUAUAAAGACCGUUCUCCGAGCUCAUAAAAUACUGUAGCUUCGGUGAUGGAGUCAUAAAGUGUCAAGACCAAGCUCGAUAGGGAUAUUGACUACCACCAAGACACUCACUACGACAACUAUUCAAGAAGUUUCUCAUAGUAAGUAGGUGGAUGAACAGUGUAUGACAACAAGUAGUUUGACCGUUUGAGGCGGCGGAAGAAUUACUCUGGCUUUAAUACACCUGUUUCGAUUUCUUGGAUUUUAUACAUGGUGUUGCUGGAAGAUGACUGUUGGGAGGUUUUUUCAAAGAACCUGAUAAACCUUCUUUAUUAGGAUAACCCUUUAUAGUCUUUUCCGACCUUCUGGAUCUCCUUUUACAAUCUUACCUUGUUAGUCUACGAUGAUCCUCUGCCCUCUAAGGGCGACGAAAACAAAGUAAGUUUAGAGCUAUACGAAGUCGCUUACGUUAAAUGUAUUCCGUCAGUCUGUUAGGUUGACUCACCGUUUGACUCGUACGAGGACUAGGAGUACUACAAAUAACCGGAAGGAAAAGAUGUAGUAAGUACCUUGCCACCUAUAGGUUUAAACAUCAUAAACAUCGAAGUCAAGAGGACUAUUAGCACAAAGAAGAUCAACACCCUAAAUAAGUUCCCGAGUGAAUAUACCUCGUUGAACUCCGUACCGACGGAAAGGACUCCUUGUAUGACCUUUAUCGGUAACAGUCAGUUAACCAAUGACCCAUAGAAGGGUCACAGUAAGAAGUGAAGGAAAGGAGAAUACACGGGAGUUAUUACUUCGAUAAAAGCUGGUACGUUCCUAAACACAGACAGUCACCCUAACUCUCUUCACGAACGUUGUUUUACGAAGCCAAAUGGUAUACCUGACACAAGAAACGUUUACAAGAAUGACCGAGUCGGAAUUUAGUUGAAUUGUAUAAGCAACUAGGUUUCUUUUAUGGACUUGCCGAACGCCAACAACAUGGACGUGUCCGUAGAAAGAAAUAACGUAUACACCACUGAAGCACCUGUUCAUAUUGUAGUCUUGAGUGAGUUUGAAGACGGGAAGACAUAGUGAACACCCCCUCGACGCGUUUCACAACGUUCUCCCUUCUGAGUCUUCGAGGUAGCUACGUGAUAGUAUCACUUUAAGGAGCCUAAGAGAACAAACCUGAAGAGCCCGAGUGCAUGAGGUAACAUCGAGGUGAAUAGGAGGGUAAACACAACUGAAUGAAGACGGAACCGAUGAAGUAUAAAGCGUUAGUCGAAACAUUACACAUACGUGGGUUCAUACUGUGGCCACCUUCUAAAACCGGGUAACACGUGUUACGUUGGUAUAAAAGAGAACACGACUACGUAAACUAAAGUUAGCCUCAUAAACCUCAUUUCCUUAAAGGUGAACCAAGUUCAGACGACCACGGAGACGGCUAAGAGUGUGAAGACAAGAUACGUAUGACACCUUUGGCUAAAAUGGGGUAGAAGCUUCGUAUGAGAUGGCUCAGUAACCAUUUGUUUCUAUAUGUUCUUGUUUCGUUUGGUCUCUACCGUCUCAAGAAGUCGUCAGAACUUUGUCGGAUGACACUGGGUCGUGACUUCGGAUAGGUCGCCAGAAGCUUGAGACUACUUGCAUGAAGUGGUGAGAACAGAAGACAGAUCUAGGUCUGUUCAGUAUCCACCGUAGGACCGAGGGUGCCACACUCUAAAAACAAACUAAAACCCAAAAACUACUAGUCCAUGUAUAUUGUCAUGUCCACACGAAGAACAACACAAAAAAAUGUGCCACUUCGUUUUGAAUCCUGUACUUAGGAACAUAAUAAUACAACAUGUAAAAAGAAAUCCUGUAUUUAGGAACAUAAUAACACAACAUAUAAAAAGAACCUCCUCAAACGACACGUAUAAAAACACAUAGUCUAAACCACGAGCGAAACAUCUCUACUUAUUAUGUAAAAGAGAAUUCAAAACCCAACCGUUACGUUUGACAAACUUGGCUGGUACGUUCAACAUCUAGAAUUCAAGGUACGUUGGAUGAAUGACAGAGAAGAUUGAUACACAAAUACACCUAUAACAAAAUGAGGCAUAUUAAGUCAUAUACUCUAAAAGACGGUGAACCUCGUUACACUAGUCCUCGACGACAAAAAGGAGGAAGUCAGGAAGAAUUCACGUAAAUUUAUACCGGCGAGACCCAUAUAAAUACUAUGAAGUUGCAGUUCCAACUCAAAGAGAUUUGUGUUUUCGGACGAUGCCACACCUUGGCUAGUCCCACGCCGCAAGACGUGGGUAUAAGACAAUAAUGGGUCAAUAUGCGACUCCAGUCAACUGUUCGAGUAUGAUGAGACGUAAGUGUAACCGAAACUUUUACAGAACCGUUGUGUUUUGGCAUGACAAAGUUGGACCGGUCCACAAUAAAAAAAAGAGUUGCCGAGAGUCUACAUGGGUUGUUUCUAUACGAACGUAGUCAACUAGCAUGAGGCAGCAGUUUUACCGG